CUCCUACGGGAGGCAGCAGUGGGGAAUAUUGCACAAUGGAGGGAACUCUGAUGCAGCAACGCCGCGUGAAGGAAGAAGGUUUUCGGAUCGUAAACUUCUAUCGACAGGGAAGAAAAGAAUGACGGUACCUGAAUAAGAAGCCCCGGCUAACUACGUGCCAGCAGCCGCGGUAAU
rnacentral:rRNA from 1 species